UCGGAAGGUGCGGCUGGAUCACCUCCUUUCUA
rnacentral:rRNA from 5 species